CAACUGCCUGAAAACUAAAAGGCUACAAUUUUGAAGAGAGAGAGAGCGAGAGAGUUUCCAAUUGAUCAUCAUCCUGUAAAAGGUGACCCAACUUUCAACAGAGAACGCUGCUCAUCUUCAACAAGGCAUCGGUUUGCUUCUCUCAGCUUGGACUGCCCUUCAGAUGGCCUUUGAGAACUGUUGUGGUGGCCCUGACUCUCUCUCCUCAAAAAUCCCAACAAGUCGCCUCCGAUAUUUUCUCUUGCCUCAACCAAUCCAAAGAGUUCUUUCUAAACAACUUUAUGCAGAUAGCAGAGAAAUGAAUGAUUAUGCAUGAAGAGUGUUUUGGAAGGUAACUAUAAGUCAAUUCAAAUACUAAAGGAAAUGAAUCCUCUGAGAGGUGCUGUUCCUCAUAUCUGACAGUGAUGGGCAACGAUGAUGAUAGCAUAGGGGACAAUGAUUCAGAAGUCGGCGCUUUAGAGUACCAAUUGAAUGUAGAAGAUGGAAGGACAGUAGUUGCCUCUAGGCAGAGCAAAGGUAGAAGGAACUAGGUUGAACCCUCAAGAUUUAUGAUCCCUGUUUAUUUUUGCUUUUUAAUUUCCUCUUUUUUAUCCUAUACUUUUUGCCCCUUUAUUUGUGUCAAUAUGUCAUUUUUAUAGAGUUAUUAGUGUGGCAAAUUUUGUUCCUUGCUUUUGAUGCCAUGCCAAGGAAGUUGUGCUUGUGGUGUAACUGGAGAGUGGAGACUGGUUUCCUCUCAUAUAUAGGUUCUAAAGCAUCAUACAUGAAAAAGUUUGCUUUCUAUAUA